GCACUUCUGAGGUCUGACCUUGCUCUCAAGACAAAUAAACCCCAACCUGAGUUUUUCUGUAAAACGCUAAUAGCAAGUGAUAAAAGUACUCAUGGAGCUUGCUCUAUGCUCCGCCGUGCAGCAGAGAAGAUUUUUCCACCUCUUACAACCAAAACGCCACUUGCUUACAACUGGAUGGAGUCUAUUUGCCAGUGGAAAGAGGCUUUUUGCUGGUGACUCUUUUCUAUUUAUCAGGUAUGAUGAACUGAGGUUAUAUAUUUUUUAUGAAAUGCAAAGUACUUUUUGUUUAAACCUCUUUAACUUCACUUUUUGUGAUCAAGGAUGAAAAGCAACUUCUACUUCUCGGUAUUAGACGAGCUAACAUGCAACCUACGAACCACCAUCAUCUGUAUUUCCAAGUGACAGUAUGCAUAUUAGAAUUCUGGCAGCUGCCACUCAUGCUGCAGCCAACAAUAGUCCCAUCACAACGUUCUACCAUCCUAGGGCUAAUCCAUCAAAAUUUGUUAUUCCUUUAGCCAAGUACUACAAGGCAGUGUGUGGAAACCAAAUAUCACCCGACAUGCGUUUUCGUACAAUGUUUGAAACCGAAGAGUUUGGAACAAGAAGGAAAAUGAAUUCCUUUGGCAGGUAUAUGUGUACAAUCACAGAUAUUAGUGAUCUUGAUCCCGCUAGUUGGAAGAAUUCACAAUGGCGUAAUUUGCAGGUUGGUUGGGACGAAUCAACUUCGGGGAAAGGCGUAAUAGGGUUUCAAUCUGGGAGAUUGAACCUGUUACAACUCCAUUUUUUAUCUUCCCCCUCCAUUUUUUAGAUCAAAACGUCCUAGGCAACUGAAAAUGCCAGGAUUUGGCGAGUGAUGUUGUGCAUUAAGUUCAUGAUGCCAAAUUUCCACAAGAACUUGUGUUUUUGAGAUCUUUUGUGAAGUUGUACUAUUUUUUUUCAUACUUGUACACACUUUAAUUUUAGGGGAUACAUUCAUUAUCUUUUACUCAUGAUAUAUGAUUAAGUAUUCUAUGUUUACACACAAUUUAUUUUUUUAAUAUAAGUUGUUGAGGUUAAGUAUUACAAUUUUUUUUUUCUGCAUUUCUAUUAUGCUAUUGAAGCUUAAGGAUUAUUGAAUGGUGUGGACGCUUUUUAAGCAAUUUUUUUUAUUUCUGGUAUGAUUUCAACGACAGUUAAAAACUGUCUCCAUAGAGAGCCAACCACGAUAGCUAAUAACUGUUGGCGUUGUUAAAAACGGCGAUAGCUAAUAACUGUUGGCGUUAUCAGCAACAGCGACAGUUUUUAACUGUCGGAGUUGCCAGCAACAGCGACAGUUUUUAACUAUUGGCGUUGCUACCCCUACGCUGGCAUAGGCAAAUACAUCAGUUAGUCAGCUGUCGUUGUUGUUCAAUAGCGACA